AACAGGAUUAGAUACCCUGGUAGUCCACGCUGUAAACGAUGUCGACUUGGAGGUUGUGCCCUUGAGGCGUGGCUUCCGGAGCUAACGCGUUAAGUCGACCGCCUGGGGAGUACGGCCGCAAGGUUAAAACUCAAAUGAAUUGACGGGGGCCCGCACAAGCGGUGGAGCAUGUGGUUUAAUUCGAUGCAACGCGAAGAACCUUACCUACUCUUGACAUCCAGAGAAUUUGCUAGAGAUAGCUUAGUGCCUUCGGGAACUCUGAGACAGGUGCUGCAUGGCUGUCGUCAGCUCGUGUUGUGAGAUGUUGGGUUAAGUCCCGCAACGAGCGCAACCCUUAUCCUUUGUUGCCAGCGAGUAAUGUCGGGAACUCAAAGGGGACUGCCGGUGAUAAACCGGAGGAAGGUGGGGAUGACGUCAAGUCAUCAUGGCCCUUACGAGUAGGGCUACACACGUGCUACAAUGGCAUAUACAAAGAGAAGCGAACUCGCGAGAGCAAGCGGACCUCAUAAAGUAUGUCGUAGUCCGGAUUGGAGUCUGCAACUCGACUCCAUGAAGUCGGAAUCGCUAGUAAUCGUAGAUCAGAAUGCUACGGUGAAUACGUUCCCGGGCCUUGUACACACCGCCCGUCACACCAUGGGAGUGGGUUGCAAAAGAAGUAGGUAGCUUAACCUUCGGGAGGGCGCUUACCACUUUGUGAUUCAUGACUGGGGUGAAGUCGUAACAAGGUAACC
rnacentral:rRNA from 1 species